GAAUUUACCUGGCAGCGUCUUUCGCGCCAGUUCGUUUAGUUUCUAAAGCAGCAAAACUAAAGGAACAAAUUCAUAAAACCAGCGCCUAUGCUUUAGUUUUUUAGGAGUAUAGCUACCGAAGAAGACGGGAUGUGUCCAGACCUGCAUCUAAAAAAUUAUCCGGGCUCCAUCUAGGAAGGAGUGAGUGUUUGGGUGCAGCGCUGAAAAGCUGAAAAGGGCUGCGACUUGACUAGGCGUUUGCCAGCGAUCUCUGCAGGGGUGCAGAUGCCUCUCCUGACCAAACUCCACUCCCUGGCUGGUAACUCAGUUUACAGGGAAGCUGCGGGCAGUUGUCACCCCAAAACCUCCUGUUUCUGAGCAAUAAAAAGAGCCAUCUUUUGCUGGUA